rnacentral:rRNA from 1 species
GUGGGGAAUAUUAGGCAAUGGGCGAAAGCCUGACCUAGCAACGCCGCGUGAAGGAAGAAGGCCUUCGGGUUGUAAACUUCUUUUAUGAGGGACGAAGGACGUGACGGUACCUCAUGAAUAAGCCACGGCUAACUACGUGCCAGCAGCCGCGGUAAUACGUAGGUGGCGAGCGUUGUCCGGAUUUACUGGGUGUAAAGGGCGCGUAGGCGGACUGGCAAGUCAGAUGUGAAAUACAGGGGCUCAACCCCUGAACUGCAUUUGAAACUGUUGGUCUUGAGUAUCGGAGAGGCAAGCGGAAUUCCUAGUGUAGCGGUGAAAUGCGUAGAUAUUAGGAGGAACACCAGUGGCGAAGGCGGCUUGCUGGACGACAACUGACGCUGAGGCGCGAAAGCGUGGGGAGCAAACAGGAUUAGAUACCCCGGUAGUCC